ACUCACUGGCCACAGCCAGCCAGAGCUGAGUGGUUCACUGUGCCCUGUGAUUUCUGGUUAGCCCCUGGAUAAAGGGUCUAUCCUGACUCGAGGCAAACUGGAUCUAGGUUCCUGCCUCGGGAAAUAAAUGCCAGAUUCAAUGUGGAGUCAUCUGACCAAGGCUGGGAAAGAAGUCAGAUGAGAGAGGUUCCUCUCGCCAUGAGUCUCCCCAUUCGGAACAUCUGUGUGCUCCAUGAUGACCAGAGCCAAGGAUCUCACCGUGGGAAUCUCCCAUUGUCUCUAACACGGGGCUGGGCACCUAACAGGUGCUCACUAAGCACACAUUGAUUUUUAGAAGGGAAAAAAGUACAUGUCACCUAAACCAGAAGAAAAUCCCCCAAUCAUGGAUAUUUGGAUUUGGAGUAUAUGUUUAUGAUUACAGUUGCCUUUUGGAACAAACUAUAGUACCAGGCUAGGGGAA